CCAGUACCCCCAUCUUUUGCAGCAUGGGCAAGUGACUUGUAAAUGCAAGUUGGCGCAAAAUAAAGUCUGAGCAAAGCUAAAGUGUGAGAGAAUCCAGCGUUAAGGAACAGUCAGGAAAGACUGGGUUCUUUUGUAGGCAAAGUAAAAUUUCCCUUUUUUAAAACGGAAAGAAAACGAAUAGCAUUAACUGAGGCCAGAUCUAAAAUGAUGCUUUUCAAUGCAGGCGAGUGUUGAAGAAUGCAAUGGGAAGUUCCUGGGCGAACAUCUGGUGAAGACAUUCUAAGAACACAUCUGAAAUGAAGAAAGCAGUGCCUCAUUCCCUUUAAUCCCACCUGCAUAAGGAGACAGCCUGUUCUACUUCCUACCAGGAGAACCACCCAGUCAAGGCACUUAGGCCUGCACAAGGCAGAACUUGAAAACAUCAUACUGGAUGGGCACUUGAGUGUUACUGCAGGGGAAAGCUGGUGGAAGCCGUGGAACAAACACCUGUGCCCUCGCAUGCUGACUUAGGCCACUCUGUCGCAGGACAGUGGCUUCUCCAGCUUGAGAAGAACAGGAGGGCUCCUGUGCAACCUGCUUUGUGAGAUCAUUGUUCUACAAGAAUUCUACAAUCAGCUUGUGAAGAAGGCGAAAAAGCCUUGAGCAGAGGCCUCCAGAGAUCCUCAUGAGCUUCCAGGGUACCAGAAAAUACCAUGUAAACUGCCAAGAGAGGGAAGCAAUUAGUAGUCCCACCCAGUGAUACCUACCAACCAUGGCGUGACCAGAAUGGCAAGAUAUCCACAAAGGCAGCCAACAUGUGAGCAGAUGAAGACCAUCACAAAAAUCCACAGCUGGACAUGAAGCAGACAUCAACAGUUCCUGUCGAAUCCAGCCCCAACAGAUACAGCUGCAUCACAACUCCUCCAUCUAUGGUUCUGCCAACAUCACAGAAAAGGGGAUGGGGAUGUAAGAACUAAAACCCCAGGAAGUCUGCUGUGAAACAGUUUCUCCUAGAAAUGUCUGCACAAGCAAGAUCUGAACAAUGGCAAUACCAAUAGACAGGUUGACAUGAAAGAGAAAAAUCUCAGAGUCACAUCCCUGCAUAAGGAACUACAGGCAACUGAUGACUGCUGAGAAUGAGAGUUAUGUUCUAUCAGGAAUAAGCUCCAAUAUUAGUUAUUUAAUACAAACAGCAUCUCUGAAACCACACAAACACACACACAUAUACAUAUACAUGUAUAUGUAUAUAUAUAUAUGUAUAAAGCAAACAACAGAGUGGACUCGGCAGGUUGUAUUUAUAUACUUGUGCAUAUAUACAUGUAACAAUAAUAAUGGAACAAGAAGAGGCUAUCAACUUAAGAUUUUUGGGAACUUUGGGAGUAGCUAGAGGGAGAAAAGGGAAGAGGAAAAGUGUUGUAAUUAUAUUUUAAUUAAAAUAUAUAAAAAUUACAAAGUGAAAGCAGUCAAUGAAUUUUGUUUUGUGAUUAGGGCAGUUUCUCAUAAUUUCUGAAAUGGAUCUAAACAUACUGCUGCAUUUUGUACUAUGUAUUUAUGCAGAACAGUGUUCUCAGAAUUGAUGAUUAUAAAAAUAAACAUUGAUCACUUAACAAACAUUCAAGAUGUUCUAUAUCCUUCAGUAUCAAAUCAGUCAAGGUUCAGUUCUUUGUGUGAACAUUAACAAGCAUAUCCAUCUUAUUAGUAAGCAAAUUUGAUUUAAUUUUUAAUAAAUGAUCAAACUGUAUGUAUAUCAAAUAAUUGCUUUAAAAUAUUUUUUUGUAAUUUAUUACCAGUAAGUAUGUACCUAUUUUAUAUACAUAUAUAUCAAUGGUCAUGUAAAAAUUUCUCAGGUAUAAAGGGGUUGUGAGUGGAAAGUUUAGGAAGUCUUGUUCUCCACUGUCUAUAUCUGAAUAAUAUUUUUUGUAGUAUAGCUGCUAUUUAUUUCUUAUUUAACAAGUUUUAAGUUUGUUUUUAAUCAUAAUAAAGAUAUAUAACAUUAAAUUAACAUUAACGUUUUAAGUGCAGAGUAUUGUUAAUUAUACACACCGUGUCAUGUUGAAUAACUUAAGUCUUGGUCCUUUUUUUUUUAAUCAUUAGUCUCAAGACAUUUUUAAUUUAUCUUGAUUUAUUCUUUGGCCCAUUGACUAUACAAGAGUAAGUUAUUUAUUUACACGUGUUUGAGAAUUUCUGAUCUUUACUUUCAUUGUUAGGACUGGAAAUGAUGUUUAAUAUGACUUAAACCUUAUUAAAUUUAAGACCUUUUGUGAUCUAACAGUCUAUACGGCAGAAUGUCCCAUUACUCUUGGGAACAGUGAAUUCUGUGUCCACUAGACGGAAUAUUCUUCAUAUGUGAGUUUACUCCAUCUGGCCUAUUUCUUUUUUUCAAGCCUAUGGUUUAUUUACUGAUUUCUGUUUGAGGGUCCUGUCUAUUAUUGAUAGUGGAAUAUUGUAAUCUCCUACUGUUUUAUGUUGCUGUGUAUUUCUCCAGUGCUGUCAAUGUUUGCUUCAUAUAUUUGGAUGCCGUGAGUACAAAUUCUGGUGAUUUGGCUGCUUUUAUCGUUACAUAUACCCUUCUUUGUCUUUCAUGCCUUUUUUAAAAAAAAACUUAAAUUAUUUUCCUGGUGUUUGAAUAGCAGACUCUCUUCUUUUUUCAUAUUGUUUGUAAGAAACAUCAUUUUCUAUAUCUUAUUUUUAUCCUGUGCAUGUCUUUAAAUCUAAAGUGUAUCUCUUGCAGACAGCAAAUAGUUGGAUUUUUGUUGUUGUUGUUGUUGUUUUUAAAUCCAUUCAGAUCAGCAGUUCUCAACCUGUGGGUUGUGAUCCCUUGGACAAACCUCUAUCUCUGAAAAUAUUUACAUUAUGAUUCACAAC